rnacentral:rRNA from 1 species
GAUCAUUGCACACACAAAGUUGCAGCAAACCCCCUUUGCGAAUUUCAUGAAUGUCCCCCUUGUGUUUUGGGGGGCCUGGGGCAUCGUUGUCACUACUACUUMCUACUCGUGGUGGUGGUGGUGGUGGUGUCCCGGCCUGCCAAGCACAUCCAAGUCCCCCCACAAGGGGGAGGCUUGGUAACCAACCGAUUGCGCAAUGCAUCAACACUUUCAAUAUGACUGAGUUCAAAAAAAAAAUUCGGGACACUGCCGCUUGCAAAGGCGGUGGUGUCCCCGAGUUGUGAUAAACAAAAACAACUCUCAGCAACGGAUAUCUUGGCUCUUGCAACGAUGAAGAACGCAGCGAAAUGCGAUACGUAGUGUGAAUUGCAGAAUUCCGCGAAUCAUCGAGUCUUUGAACGCAAGUUGCGCCCGAGGCUUGACCAAGGGCAUCUCUGCCAGAGCGUCACCGCGACACCCACCAAUCCACUCUAAGUGGAUUGAGUGAAACUGGCCAUCCGAAUGUGGCCACCCAGGGCUUCCUGGGUGGCAGAUUGGGUUGGCUGAAAUGGAGGGAAUUUGGCCGCCGUGCUGUCACAGCCCGCGAUCAGGUGAUCCAGGCCCCCCCACUUGCAAAGGUGGCGGGUGUCCUGGAACUCAAAUGUGCGUUGGUUGUGCUGCUGUGCCCAGUCAGGGAUUCCAAAGCAGGUCCCUCGCGACACUCGGUCCCUUAUAMUGGGAGGGGCUGGGUGGAGAGCGADGAAAACGNC